ACCUGGGUGGCUCAGUCCGUUGAGUGUCCGACUUUGACUCGGGUCAUGAUCUCACGGCUUGUGAGUUCGAUUCCCACGUCAGGCU
rnacentral:tRNA from 1 species